UACGUAGGGUGCAAGCGUUAUCCGGAAUUAUUGGGCGUAAAGAGCUCGUAGGCGGUUUGUCGCGUCUGCUGUGAAAACCCGAGGCUCAACCUCGGGCCUGCAGUGGGUACGGGCAGAUUAGAGUGCGGUAGGGGAGAUUGGAAUUCCUGGUGUAGCGGUGGAAUGCGCAGAUAUCAGGAGGAACACCGAUGGCGAAGGCAGAUCUCUGGGCCGUAACUGACGCUGAGGAGCGAAAGCGUGGGGAGCGAACAGG
rnacentral:rRNA from 1 species